AGACCGUUCUCUUCAGAGGCCGGUCAUUGGAAUGGGUACAAUUUAAACCCUUUAACGAGUAUCUAUGAGAGGGCAAGUCUGGUGCCAGCAGCCGCGGUAAUUCCAGCUCUCAAAAUGCAUAGAAUCAUUGCUGCGGUUAAAAAGCUCGUAGUUGGAUCUGUGCUGGCGGGUCGGUCCACCUUCGGGUGCGCACUGAUUUCGCCGGCUUUCCUGCUGUAUUUGGCCCUGUGCCUUUCAACGGGUGCAGUGUCCAGUGCAGCAAGUUUACCUUGAACAAAUCAGAGUGCUUCAAACAGGCGUUUCGCUUGAAUGUUCGUGCAUGGAAUAAUAGAAGAGGAUUUCGGUUCUAUUUUAUUGGUUUUAUAGACUGAGAUAAUGGUUAACAGAGACUAACGGGGGCAUUAGUAUUGCUACGUGAGAGGUGAAAUUCUUGGACCGUAGCAAGACUGACUACAGCGAAAGCAUUUGCCAAGAAAGUCUUCAUUAAUCAAGAACGAAAGUCAGAGGUUCGAAGGCGAUCAGAUACCGCCCUAGUUCUGACCGUAAACGAUGCCAACUAGUGAUCCGCCGGUGGAACAUUCGCCCUGGUGGGGAACUUCCCGGAAACGAAAGUCUUCCGGUUCCGGGGGAAGUAUGGUUGCAAAGCUGAAACUUAAAGGAAUUGACGGAAGGGCACCACCAGGAGUGGAGCCUGCGGCUUAAUUUGACACAACACGGGAAAACUCACCCGGCCCGGACACCGUAAGGAUUGACAGAUUGAUAGCUCUUUCAUGAUUCGGUGGAUGGUGGUGCAUGGCCGUUCUUAGUUCGUGGAGCGAUUUGUCUGGUUUAUUCCGAUAACGAGCGAGACUCUGGCCUACUAAAUAGUUUACACAUUGCUUCUGUGUGCAUAACUUCUUAGAGGGAUUUUCGGUGUUCAGCCGCAAGAAAUUGAGCAAUAACAGGUCUGUGAUGCCCUUAGAUGUCCGGGGCUGCACGCGCGCUACACUGGCAAAAUCAGCGUGCUUGUCCUUCCCCGAAAGGGGUUGGUAAACUCGUGAAAAUUUGCCGUGAUUGGGAUCGGAAAUUGCAAUUAUUUUCCGUGAACGAGGAAUUCCAAGUAAGUGCGAGUCAUCAACUCGCGUUGAUUACGUCCCUGCCCUUUGUACACACCGCCCGUCGCUGCCCGGGACCGAGCCGUUUC
rnacentral:rRNA from 1 species